GUCCAGGUGUGCACUCACCAGUCCUCCAUCUGUAAGGGCAUACCCUUCUAUAGAAGUACCUUGCCCUGCUGAGAAUUAAAAAGAAAAUUUUAUAUUCGAGUGCUAUUUCUUUUGUGGCACCGAAACUUUACUUAUAACAAUUUGGGGGCUCAUCCGGGAUUACAUUCCCCUCCGGGGGUGGUCUCUGGUUCUCUCUUGUGAGGAGGUGCACCCCACCCCACUGUGGCGGCCUCAGGGGUGAGAAAUCAAGACCCACCCAGUGUGAAGAAUAACCUGAGCUCUCAGCUACAUGGAAAGAAACUGGCUAGCAACCUAGCUUAAAGCAUCCUCCAUAAGGGCCACACAAGUGUGUGCAUGGACCGAGGAAAAGACACCAUGGGAGCCGGUAAAGUAUUUCCUUGGUGGUUGGGAGCAAGGUACAUCUAAUUUCACCUCUUGAAGAUGGCUGACAUGGUCACUGAACUGAAGCUUUGUGGUGAAGAAACUAUUAAGCAAAUGGGGAGGAAGAGCCAUACAAUUUCACUUUAGUGAGGAGCUAAGAACUAAUUUUAUUCCAAAAUCAAACUCAUGCCAAAAACGGGCCAAUGCAAUCAUUUAGGGAUAAAGAACCUAGAGUUUCAGGCAUGAGUGGAAAUGUGCUGAGGGGUCCAGAACAUGCCACUCCAAAAAAACCCUCCUUGGCAUAAGGAUUGUUUUGAGCUGAAGGCAAUUGAGAAUCAACAGAUGCAGGAAAAAUUCUCUACCCUUUCUUUUGUGCCUAAAAGCAAUACAUAAACUUGUCUUUGUGAAAAUGACAUGAGUUUUUCCCUCUCCUGAACCAGGAUGAAGAGAGCUACCCUUAUCACCACAUAUGGAGAGCCAGCACCAAGAUGAUUUUGUUCACAGACUCCAGCCACUGAUCAAAAGAGGGUGGAGGAAAUGUUUUCCAACCCUACAAUGCACACUGUAUCUCUGUGCAGCAUACACCUCUGUACGACAAUUUCCCUUGUUGUUUGCCUGAAGACACAUGAGCUGCAACUCUGAAUCGGGAAAUAGAACUUCAAUCACUUUCGUGGAGCAAUUGGGGAAUGAAACAACCUUGCAUGCUCCUCUGAGGAGUAUGCCAUGAGAGCUCAGAGGCUACUAUUAUUGGCUGAACAUUGGUGUCAAAAUCUUGAUUGAUGUCCAAAUGCUUCUGGUCUCAUCCUAGACUUGUGAGGUGUGAUCUCCAUAGGUCUAUUCCCAUCCCUUUCCCCUCCACCACGCCUAGUCCCACAUUCUUUUCUGCAUGCAGUGUGCUCUGCUCUAUUGAUCACCUUAACCCAGCUGUGCGCACUCUUCCACUUGUCCUGAAAACAGCACACCCACGUAGCCUUCUUCGGUGAUGUCUGGGCCAUGUGUUGGUGUUGUGCACACUCUUAUUAUGAUCAUUUGAACUCUUAUAACACAUUGUUUAACACAUGUGAAAACGUAAGACAAACUUGCAGGUUUCAGUUAUUUAAAGAUAAACCACGAUAUAAAUGUUCAUAUCUAUUCAAUAUAUUUAAGAUAAGCACUUCAAAUUCUCAUUUAAAUAUCUUAGUCUUGCUUCAUCUAUAAAGUCAUAACUUUAUUAGUUAAAAUGCUUAUUUGGAUAAUUUCAGACUUUCAAAAAGGUUGUGAAAAUUGUACAAAGAUUUUCUAAAUACUCUUCACUUAGAUUCCUGAAAUAUUCCUACAUUAGCAUUCUCUCUCUCUCCUCUCCUCUCUGUCUCUCCUCUCCUCUCUUGUCUGUCCUCUCUCUCUCUCUCAAGGUUCUACAAUUACUGAUCCUGACACUUAGGAUGUGAGUUUAGGUAGAGAUUUGGGAAGUUCAAGAUUGCUCAUCAUUUUAUCUGGUAAUGUCUUUUGCUCAAGUGACACCUUUUACUUCAACUGCUAUUGUUUGCCUCACUAGUUUCACUUGUGGGAUUUUUCAAAAAUGCAUCAUGAUUGAUAGAGUUAAAAUUAAUCUUUCUUGAUGUAAAGCAUAUUGUGUUCAUUGCUGUGGGCCUGCUAUGUUUAGUAUUGCAAUGCCAGUGGGUUUAUAUCACCUACCAGUUUAUCUUGUUAUAACUCAUCUGACUGCUUUAUCUCUGUGAGGUAGCUGUUUAGAGCUUGGGUUCUGAAGUCAGAUGAUUUGAGUCUGACUCUUGGCUUUAGUUCCUGAAUCCUGGACAAAUACCUUCACCUCCCUGGGCCUUCCCUUCCACAUCUUCCAGAUGUGCACAUGGUAGUGCUUAUCUCAUAGGAUUUUGUGUAUGUGUGAGGAUUGAGUCAGACAAAUAGGAAGUGUUCAGUAUGUUGUCCAUUGUUACAUUAAUCUAAAAAGAACAUUGGAUAACAUUUGAAUAUCUUCUGUGCCUAAAAUGUCUAUAGCCUUUCUCUUAUUUAUUUGUAAUUCUCUGCUGUUUGAGUUUCUGACAGGCUCUAUAUUUCUAAGCUUUUAUUUAGUCUUGAUUAAUUUUAGUGAAGUUUUUCUUCAAUUUAGUCAAAAUAAUGUAUUUACCAUAGGAAGUUAAUAGUUAAAGAUAAUUGUUAUGUUUGAUCUUUACGUAAUUAAAACUUGAGAAUUUUAUCCUUUCAGUUCCUAUGUAGGUUAGUUUUUCCUCAAUAUGGCUAAUGUGGGUGGUAUCUUGGAUUGAAAUAUCUUAUUUCCUCAAGUGUACAAUCCAUUUUAAAUAGCAAUUUGUGUGGUUGGUAACCAUUAACUUGAUAGAAACGUUAGGUCUGAAUCUGUCUCUACAAAAUUCAUGUGUUUGGAACUUAAUUUCCAGUGGGGUAGUGUAUUAACUCAUUUUCAUAGUGCUAUGAGGAAAUACCCAAGACUGGGUAAUUUAUAAAGAAAAAGAGGUUUAAUGGACUCACAGUUCCACAUUGCUGGGGAGGCCUCACAAUCAUUGUGGAGUGUAAAGGAGGAGCAAAGGCACAUCUUACAUGGUGGCAGGCAAGCGAGCGUGUGGAGGGGAACUGCCCUUUAUAAAACCAGCAGAUCUCAUGAGACUUAUUCACUAUCACGAGAACAGCAUGGGAAAAACUCAACCCUAUGAUUGAAUUACCUCCCACCAGGUCCCUCCCAUGACACGUGGGGAUUAUGGGAGCUAAAAUUCAAGGCGAGAUUUGGGUAGGGACACAGCAAAAACAUAUCUGGUAGUAUUAAGAGGUGGGAUCUUUAGGAGGUGAUUAAGUCACGAGCAUGGAGCUCUUAAGAAUGGAAUUAGUGACCUUACAAAAGAUGUGUGAGGGAGCUGUUUGCUGCUUCCACCUCUUCUGCCAGGUGAGGAUGCAGCAACAGGAAAACAUGUUGGAAGCAGAGAGAAGUCCUCACCAGACACUGAAUCUGCCAAAACCUUGAUCUUGAACUUCCCAGCCUCCAGAACUGUUCAAAAUAAAUUUCUGUUCUUUCUAAAUUAUCCAGUCUGUGGCAUUCUGUUAUAGCAGCAGGAAUGGACUAAGACAAUUUUAUUGAACAUCUAUCUAAAGAAAUGCUACUUCCUUUACUCAAAAAUAAAACAUGAAGUUUCUGCGGGUCAGGAAGACCUCUUAGACCAAGUCAUUGGUCUGACUAUGAGAUUCAACUUCCAGGAUCCUUUUCUGAGUCUUGCUUCUCUCUCUCUGCUAAAUUUAAGCGCUCCUGUUCACCGUGGAGUCACUAUGUUUAAGUAGAGCCCUGCGGCUCUCACACUGCAUGUCUGUUUGGAUGCUCUUGGGGGCCUUGCAGGAGUUUUAAUGUGGACUGAUGUAGGCAUGAGGAUUCUCAGAGCCCCAUGGUAUGUUUGCCGUGCAGUGAAACUUGAGGACCACGGCCUACCCAACCUCUGAUUCUCUGCAGCAACCCCCAGGGUCACGUGGGGACCUGCAAAGUUUGUUCUAAAAUUGAGGUGAUGAGAGGGGGCUGAGUUCGGAGUGCUACCUCCUUCCACACCAGCUCUACACACUCAUCUCCCCUCCACACUCACACUCCUCUGUGCAGUAGUGCAGGCUCCAAGAAAUUCCCUUAGAAAGAACUCCGCUUAACUUUGCUCUAUACAGCAUUUCCAAACUUAAUAUCAAAUUAGUGCUGUGGUAAUACGUGGGCUUAUUUUAUUAACACAUUAAAUAAGGAUUAGUGGCUAUUUCAAAACACCUGCAACAGCUUAACAUGUGAAAUAUAUGGUUUCUGUUGGUGACAAAGGUACGGGUACCGUGGUUUGUUAGUUGCAUUUAUAAUUAAAGGAAGAGCUAAAUUUCAAAUAAAAAUUACUGAAAAUAAACAUGAGAUUAUUUUUUAUCCCAAAUUCACAGACCCCCUCCCAACCCCACCUUCCUGCCCCAUGCUGCACUCUCUGUCCAUGGGCCCUGGUUAAGGGAAACCCAAGUUGGAACAGGACUCAGGGCUUUUCUUUGACCUGGCUUUUUACAAACACAAGAAAUGCAUGGGCUGGGCAUGGCGCUGGUGUGAGAGCUGCACUUUCUGUAGUGACCCGAAGCCUGAAUUCACCUCGACCUCCAGUUCCUCCUGCCUGGGAGCUGGUGAAUGCCCGUUGGAUCCAUUGGAAGGGGUGAAUCUCCCUCUUGGCUGUCUCUGUCCAGAGCUGUUCCUCAGGGACUUCCUUGCAUUGGGCUCCUGCCAGUCUCAGGGACUUCUCAGUCUCUCUGUUGAUGGCCCAUCAGAGCUCACUCCACUUGUGAAGGCUUUCUCCUGUCAUCCUUCCUGGAAGCUCUUUGAAUACCGACCACGGCUGAGCACUGCACUGCCUCCCUGCCCAGCUGCCACUGGGCUUGGAUGAUUUUCAACCUCAACAUGAAAGGGAAACUUUCAGAUGGCAUCUGGGCUUUGCUAUUUCUGGUGUGGUGUCAUUAAAAGCUGCCUCAGUCUAGCAUCUGUGAUUUCACUUUUUGAUAUAAAAAAGAUAUGAACUGUUAGUGCAAUAGUGCAGAGAAUGAUAUCCAACUUUUAUUUUAUGUAUAUAUUUUAUUUGUGUCUCAUAAAGGGGUUCAGGACACAAUAACCCAAAGCAUGGCACUUUGACAUUUGAGAAAACAGCAGAAGCAGGAAGGUCUCUCUCAUCUUACUCUGCCCUUCUACCCUAAAGCAGGUCAUGAGACCCUCAUUCAAGAAGUACACACCCUAUACCCAAAGAAAAGAAACAUUCUUAUCUCUGAAGACACAGAGACACACAGAGAAUAAUCUGAACACACCAGUCUUACUAAGCCACCCUAUGCCUCCCAGGUUACCACCGUUCGAUCACGCUCCCUUUGUCCAGCCAUACUUCCCCGAGACUGUCUACUCUUCAUCAAACCUAGCAUAAAAAACAUGUUUCCCUAUUUCUUUGGGUCUUUAUUUCUGAAGACUCCCAUGUCACAUACAAAUUAUAUUAAAUACACUUGUCUGCUUUCUUCUUCUUAAUCUGUCUUAUAGGAGCCUCAGGCAUAAACUUAGCAAAGGGUGAGAAAAUAUGUAUCUUUUUAUUCCCUACAUUUGUAUUUAUGUUGAAAUGCAAAGACAGGCAAAAAUAGAGGGCUAUACGAAUUCAGCAGGAUUCUAAAUUAUUAACUUGGAAAGUACUUUCAAACUCUGGAGGAAAGUUUCUAAUUACUUUUGGAAGGAAAGGCAGUAUUAUGUAAGAAAACCACAUUUUCUAUCAUGCAUUACUAAACUAACUACGGAAGUCACAUCCUUAUGCCUUUUUGUAGCUAACAUUGUUUCUGACCCCUAAGAACUGACUGAAGCAAACAGAUCAAGUUGAUUCAGUGUUAGGUAAAUAGGAGGGUGGUGAGAUUUUAAGAUAAACUUACCAGAGCAAGAAAGGAUCAGUGCUUCAAACAGGUGCAAAACAAGUAGGGGAAAGGUAGAAUUAAGCACUCUUGUUUUCAAGUUACAAAACGUUCACAUUUGUUUCUAAUGUUUACUUAAACACUCUAAUACCCUAAAAAAUCGACAUCCUUGAAUUUGAAGGUCAGUAAAAUAUAAAUAACACAGUUACUGCUUUUUGGAAUAUCUCUGUGGAUUCAUUCAGCACUCUUGCUAUUUAUUUAUUUAUUUAUUUAUUUAUUUAUUUAUU
rnacentral:lncRNA from 1 species